GGUUGCGAUCAUACCAGCACUAAUGCACCGGAUCCAUCAGAAUCCGCAGUUAAGCGUGCUGGCGAGAGUAGUACUAGGAUGGGUGACCCCUGGGAAGUCCUCGUGUUGCAACCC
rnacentral:rRNA from 1 species